rnacentral:lncRNA from 1 species
GCUAGCACCACGGUGCAUUAUGGGGGCCGCAGUCCCCUCCGUGCAGGGUGGGGGGUCAAGCUCGCCGACUGUCCCCCGCGAGCCCGUGGACUACAACUCCCAGCAGGCCAAGCGGAGGGACGAACGGCUCUUUUCCUUCCCCGCCUGCCCUGGCCAUCCUGCCGCUUGGCCCCAUGGGAGCUGUGUUUCGGGGCGCCCGCUGCUUCCCGCGCCUUGCUAGAGCUUCUGCGGGCGGAGUGGACUCGCUGUCCCAGCCUGCCCUGCGCGGACGGUGGCUGCCAAGGGCGCUGGAGGCUCAGGGGCCGCCCCGGAAGGAACGCGGCCGCGGCGCGGAGCGGUUGGGCUCGCGCUCUGCGGAGGGUUCAGGAGCUGAGAUCCUUGGUGGCUUUAAAUGAUCCCCAGGAAGGAAAACUGAUUCAGUCUCAAGAGACAGCUUUAAACUCAUUGGACAUUUGGAAGGCCUUAUUUGCUGCUGCUGAACCUAAUCCAGAGACUGC